GCUUCUAUGGCCAAGUUGGUAAGGCGCCACACUAGUAAUGUGGAGAUCAUCGGUUCAAA
rnacentral:tRNA from 10 species